GAUGUACUCCCUCCGUUCCAAAAUAGAUGACUCAACUUUGUACAAACUUUAGUACAAAGUUGAGUCAUCUAUUUUGGAACGGAGGGAGUAUAUA
rnacentral:pre_miRNA from 1 species